rnacentral:rRNA from 1 species
AUUGAACGCUGGCGGCAUGCCUUACACAUGCAAGUCGAACGGUAACGCGGGGCAACCUGGCGACGAGUGGCGAACGGGUGAGUAAUGUAUCGGAACGUGCCCAGUUGUGGGGGAUAACUGCUCGAAAGAGCAGCUAAUACCGCAUACGACCUGAGGGUGAAAGCGGGGGAUCGCAAGACCUCGCGCAAUUGGAGCGGCCGAUAUCAGAUUAGGUAGUUGGUGGGGUAAAGGCUAACCAAGCCAACGAUCUGUAGCUGGUCUGAGAGGACGACCAGCCACACGGGGACUGAGACACGGCCCAGACUCCUACGGGAGGCAGCAGGGGGGAAUUUUGGACAAUGGGCGCAAGCCUGAUCCAGCAAUGCCGCGUGCAGGAUGAAGGCCUUCGGGUUGUAAACUGCUUUUGUACGGAACGAAAAGGCUCUGGUUAAUACCUGGGGCACAUGACGGUACCGUAAGAAUAAGCACCGGCUAACUACGUGCCAGCCGCCGCGGUAAUAC